GAUUCUUUCCUGGAGCCCGUAUCUUUGGGUGGAAAGAGGCUAAGAGGGGUGGUGUAGGGUUGAUUUCCUGUGCAGUCCCUAGAUUGUGAUUCCUCACAACCUAUUGCUAUUCUAAUGUUUUUCGUAUUCUCUUAGCCCUGUAUGUACUAGCCAUUUUUACUGGCCACAUUGUUUAUUAUGGAGUUUCCCCAAAUGUUCUCUGGCUCCUCUCUUUAUGAAACCGAAUGUGUGUUACUCCUCAUUAUGUAGUCUCUUCCCACUUUUUUCAAGGUGUCAUCCAGACUACCUGCUUCAGAAUCAUCUAGGAACUCGUUUCAAAGCAGAUUCCCUGGCCCU
rnacentral:lncRNA from 1 species